GUGCUCACUUCUGCAGCACAUAUACUAAAAUUAGAAUGAUACAGAGAUUAGCAUAGCCCCUGUGCAAGAAUGACACACAAAUUCAUUAAGAAUUUCAUAUUUUU